UUCGCCUACGGGGGGCAGCAGUAAGGGAUAUUGGUCAAUGGGGGAAACCCUGAACCAGCAACGCCGCGUGAGGGAAGACGGUUUUCGGAUUGUAAACCUCUGUCCUCUGUGAAGAUGAUGACGGUAGCAGAGGAGGAAGCUCCGGCUAACUACGUGCCAGCAGCCGCGGUAAUACGUAGGGAGCGAGCGUUGUCCGGAUUUACUGGGUGUAAAGGGAGCGCAGGCGGCACGGCAAGCCUGAUGUGAAAGCCCGCGGCCCAACCGCGGGACUGCAUUGGGAACUACCGGGCUGGAGUGCCGGAGAG
rnacentral:rRNA from 1 species